rnacentral:piRNA from 1 species
UCUCAAAGCAAGUUAUUUUUU